rnacentral:rRNA from 1 species
AUUGAACGCUGGCGGCAUGCCUUACACAUGCAAGUCGAACGGCAGCACGGGUGCUUGCGCCUGGUGGCGAAUGGCGAACGGGUGAGUAAUAAAUCGGUGCAUGACCUGUUGUGGGGGAUAGCCCGGCGCAAGCCGGAGUAAUACCGCAUACGAUCUACGGCAGAAAGCGGGGGACCUUCGUGCCUCGCGCUUUCGGGUUGGCCGAUGGCUGAUUAGCUAGUUGGUGGGGUAAAGGCCUACCAAGGCGACGAUCAGUAGCUGGUCUGAGAGGACGACCAGCCACACUGGGACUGAGACACGGCCCAGACUCCUACGGGAGGCAGCAGUGGGGAAUAUUGGACAAUGGGCGAAAGCCUGAUCCAGCAAUGCCGCGUGUGUGAAGAAGGCCUUCGGGUUGUAAAGCACUUUUGGCCGGAAGGAAGGCCUUGGCCCUAAUACGGUCGGGGGAUGACGGUACCGGAAGAAGAAGCACCGGCUAACUACGUG